UACGUAGGUGACAAGCGUUGUCCGGAUUUACUGGGCGUAAAGAGCGCGCAGGCGGUCGAUCAAGUCGAGUGUGAAAGCCCCCGGCUCAACUGGGGAGGGUCAUUCGAUACUGAUCGACUCGAAGGCAGAAGAGGGUAGUGGAAUUCCCGGUGUAGUGGUGAAAUGCGUAGAUAUCGGGAGGAACACCAGUGGCGAAGGCGACUACCUGGCCUGUUCUUGACGCUGAGGCGCGAAAGCUAGGGGAGCAAACGGG
rnacentral:rRNA from 1 species